CGUGUCCCGGAUCAGCUUUCCACAAGCCGUCUGAGCCUGUUUGCACCUCUCGCCAGGGUGAGCACAGAGGCCACUCCAAGAUCCCUCUCUGUGGCGGACACUGGGCUGGGCGCUGGCAAGACAGACCUAAAAGUGACAGAGGUGCUCGAGUCAAGUUGAGGAGUUCCUGUUGUGGUGCAGUGGAAAUGAACCCGACUAGUAUCCAUGAGGACGCAGGUUCGAUCCCUGUUCUCGCUCAGUGGGUCGGGCAGAACAAUUCAACCUUUCCAGGCCCAGUCCCAAAUCCUGCCCAACUUUGCACAGUCCAGCCUGGGAAGGCACAGACACAGAAAGGACCCGUCUUUGAACAGAACUGGCCUUCCUUCCAGGGCAGCCAGCUGACAUUGACCAUGGGCUCCCUCACAGAUCAAAGUGCUAUUUUCAGAACAACGGGGAAAGAAUGCCAAAUACACCCCUCCCAAAAAAAAAACCAUGGAAUUAAGGGAAUUUCUGUUUUACAAGCCACCCGAGUCCUGACUAAGUAAGCUCAGGGCCAGCACCUUGUCCCAGAAGAACAGCUCUGAUAGGGGCUUUCGCCUGUGACAGCAACUUCUGGAGAACCGGUUUAGCCUGGGCUAUCUCCAGUCUCUGUUGACAUCACACCACAUAUCAGAGGGGACCUGGCCCUGACUCUGGCUCCAACAUGUCCUUCCAUGGCGACAUCUGAGUUUUGUCAAGACCCUACUACAUGGAAUCGUAGGAGGUGGGGGAGUUCCAGGGGGAGAAGCAGGUAAGUAAGGAGGGCAUCGUGGAAGAGGUGGCCCUGCUCAGAGGACGGACAGCAAGAACCCCUCAAGGCUGUAAUUAAGAAGACACAUAAUUGCAAGUGUUGGCAAGGAUCUGGAGAACUUGGCGCCCUCAUACCCUGCUGGUGGGAAUAUAAAAUGGCACAGAAAACAGUCUGGCACAUCCUCAAAAAGUUAAGGAGUUCCCGUCAUGGCGUAGGGGUUAACAAAUCCGACUAGGAACCACGAGGUUGCGGGUUCAAUCCCUGGCCUCGCUCAGUGGGUUAAGGAUCCAGCGUUGCUGUGAGCUGUGGUGUGGGUCGCAGACGUGGCUCGGAUCCUCUGUUGCUGUGGCUCUGGCGUAGGCCGGUGGCUACAGCUCCGAUGAGAACCCUAGCCUGGGAAUCUCCAUAUGCCAUGGGUGCGGCCCUAGAAAAGGCAAAAAGACAAAAAAAAAUGCAAAAAAAAAAAA
rnacentral:lncRNA from 1 species